CAUACAUGCAUGACGGGUUGUUGUAGAAUUGAACCCAGACGGAAUCGAACAGUCCAGUUCUGAUCGCGGCGUCUAGGUGAGCGUCUGGGAUCGGACACUGCGGCGCGGCAGAUAAAAUGACUUGUCCAAAACUCUUUAGCUCCUGAGCUAGUACGUCCCAGAACUGGUCCAAGCCAAACUCGAUAUCGAAAUCAACGCCAUCCAAAACCGCAUCGCCCAGUGGCCUGGAAUCCGACUGCCCGCCGAGGUAGCUGUUCCAAAUGAAGUUUGCGACUUCUUUCGCAUCGUCGGCGGAGUAGAGUGAAUAACUCCCCGUGCCACCGCCAAUAGAGAGGAGGACUUUGACAUUUUGACUUUGGCAAGAGUUUAUUUCGUUGCUCAAGAUGGUGCAACCGUUGUUGUCAGGGUUGCAGUGACCGGCAAGGUUGAGGACCGGAGUUUGACCGCCGCCGAAGGAUGAGAGAAAUGCUAUGUUGACGAACUCGUAGUUUCCAGUAGCGCAGGUGGAUGCAAGAGAGCCUUCGUUGCCGUUUUGGCCCCAAUAGAUGGCGAUUCCAGCCGCGUCGGAUGAGUGGAAAAUAGAGGAGAGGAGGAAGAAGAUGGAAAGGGUUGUAGUUAUUUUGUGGGCAGCCAUUGCUUAAAGAGCUUUCUUUGAGUUCGUGUAUCUAAACAAUAGAAAAUGUGAAGUGAAUUUAUAGGGAAGGGAAAUGAAUCACGAAGGGUUAUUGUUGAUCAAAUCAAAGUAGAUCAUAUAAUAUAAUUUUGUAAGUGUCAUUUGGAUUUGGAAAAAAUGUUACAAAUUAUUUAAAUGAAUGGUAAUGUUCUAAAUGAAAAAAAAAAAAAAGGUUAAUUGAUUCUACUUAUGAUAGUCUAUUUAGAAGUAUAUAUAUAUAUAUUGUAGAAUAUGAAAUUUAAUUAUAUUUUGUAAAAUUUGUAACCUAAUUUUUUUUUUCUUUUGCCAAAUCCAACUUAUUUUAAUCCGGCCAAUAUGACAACAACCAAUUUAAUUAUGAUUAAGAACAAAUUAAAAUAAAUAUGAUUAUAAUUAAUUAAGAUUUGAAUAUCUUAAACAAAAAAAAGCAUGCCAAAGAUAUUUUCAUUAUUGUAUUUGAUAUUUGUGUAAAUAUUAUUCCUUGGAUUUAAAUUAACAUUGUCUGUCAUCGUUAUUGUUAUAUUAUAAUAGAAAGAAAAGAGCUCUUAAUUACAUCAUUUCCGAUGUAUAUCAACCUCAAAAAAUAAAAAAUUAAUAAAAAAAAUGCAAGAUUGAAAUUGCAAGCUAAGUAAUAUCUCUUUUCCGAAAAUGGAUCUUAUGCAAUCUUUUAUAAUCUUUCUCCAAAUUUUCUAUUCAUAAUUCAACUUAAGUACACCAACACAUUUUACAUCCAUACACUAAAAAAAUCCUCUAUGUAAUCUUCAAUUCUAGAUCCAUACAUUAAAAUAUCCUCUAUGUAAUCUUCAGUUUCUCCCAAAUUUGAAGUAAUUAAUUUAUAAGAUAAAUAUUUUUAUAUUAGUUUAUACAAUUAUCUUGAUUUUCUUUUUUACGUAAAAAAAAUUAUCCAUGCUUUGGGUUUAUGGGUCAAUCGAUCUCAAUUCAAAAAGAGCAAAUAAAAACAUUAUAACAAAUCGUCAAUGGAUCUCAAGAUCAAUAAUAAACAAUUCAACAUUGAUAAAAAAUAUAUAUUAUCCCAAGUUGUACUGAAAAUGACAUACAAUAAUGUUUAGCACAUCACCUUAUUCCUCUACAAUCAUGUGAUUCUCCCUAAAGUACUUUUGUUAAUUACAUCAUCUAAAUUUCUAUACAUUAUCAUUAUCUCCUUAUCGAAUGUUGCCGUGGCUAAAUUUUUUUGGUAUAGAGAGACAAUAAGCUUGUACACUGGCUACCCUGUUUUGCAUGUCGAGCAGGUCCUUGAUGAGGCAGAUAGGUUAUUGAAUGAAAUUCCUCGUGAGGAAGAGAGCAUAUCUAUUUUCUGCCAUUAAAACAGGUUUGUUUGAUUUCGUUUGGGUUCAAUAUCCUACAACAAUCCGCCAUGUAUGUAUGCAAAUGGAAACGUCAACAAUCUCCUGAAUUAUUCUUGGAACUUGGUGGACGGGGUUUCCGGUUGAGAAGCUGUACAUGGGGCGACGGGCGGCAUCUGCAGCUUCACCGAGCGGUGGUUUUACUCCGGCCAACGUGCUUAAGUCUCAGGUUCUUCCAACUUUUCAUGGAAAAUACAUAUGAACAUAAAUAAAUAUGAAAUAUAUACAAAUCAUAUGAUUGUUGCAUCUACAAAGUUGCUCCUUAGUAAACAACAUGACAUGUAGCACAAUGCAUGUGCUAUCUUGAGAACCAUAAUGAAUAUAGUGACAAUCUACCUCAAAUUUACUUUGUACGUUCAUGGAAAUGGAGUUUAAGUAUAUGAUAACCAUUCGAGAAAUCUCAAAACAUCCUUCGUUGCACCCUUUAACUAAAAAGUAAAUAUAGAAAUUAAUAAACUAAAUACGAGAUUUUACAUUUGCACAAUAAAUAAAUACAUCUCAUAUUUUCAUAUUCUGUAUAUUAACUUUGAUAGAUAAUAAUUUAACUAUCUAUCCACAUAUGUAUAAAUCAUAAAGAUUCAAGCAUCAAUUUCUAUAAAUACACAACAAAACAUUUUUUUUUAAAAAAAAAAAUCACAUGUUAAUAUUAAUAUGACUACAAAUACAAAUGAUAAUAAGAUGAAUAAUUUAGCUAGUUGGAAAAUAAAACCAAUUUAAAGAUUGAAUUAAACAAGUUUUUUUAUUACUUCUUUUCUUUCGAUUCUUUAGGAAUUAAACAAGUUCGAUUAUCUUAGAAUUAGGAAAAUAGUUGACUGUCAAUAUAUUUGUAAACUUAAAACAAUCACAGUAACGUCUACGUCAAUGAUUUGAUUAAUUAAUCUUCAACUCCAUUUAUUUUGAUAAUUUCAUCUCUUUCAACAGUAACCGAUAACAUAAAUUGUUAGAUUUAAUAUCAAAUUUAACUUCAUCUAUUAAAGCUUAAGAUUGAAUUAGUGAUUAUAUCAAACUUAUUGUAUGUACUAUUGUUUUUAAUUAGAAAAAAAUUUCACCCAAGUAAGAAAUAAAAUUGAUAUAUAAUUAACUAGAAAGAAGACAGAGGAUCGAUUUAAAAAUUUGGCUAAAAUAUCAAAUUCUUACGUUAAUGAGAUUAUAUUGUAUUUAAACUUCAAACAGUUUACACAAAAUUUAAAUAAACUUGGAAUGUUUUUAUUGACAUCAACUUUUCAAUUCUAAAACAUUGGUAGUAUAGUAAUGAAAAAAAGGAUAUUAAUUAUUGCAUCACACUAAUUUAAUAUGAGACUAAAUGGAGAAGAUGAAGUCUCACUUUUUAAUUAUUAUAAUACUUUGGAGUUUAUUCAUAGCUUUAAUUAAAAUUAAACUUAGGAGCUUCCUUCAGCCGAUGCUGCCUUUAAUGGAAUCGCUGUAGCCAUUGUCAAACGCCUUACUCCAUAACAUCACUCCUCCAUAGUUGGAAGAAGCUUUAAUGGUUGGAAGAACUUGAGAAAUAAGCACAUCCGCCGGAAUAAAUCCCCCGCUCGGCGCUGCCUCCCGUGCCGCUGGCAAUCCCAUGUAAAGCUUCGAUGUCGGAAACGCCGUCCACUGAUUCCAUGAACUCAGGAGAUUGUCCGCGUUAUCUGCAAACAUGCAUGGCGGGUUGUUGUAGAAUUGAACCCAAACGGAAUCGAACAGUCCAGUUUUGAUCGCGGCGUCUAGCUGAGCGUCUGGUAUUGGACACUGCGGCGCGGCAGAUAAAAUGACUUGUCCAAAAUUCUUUAGCUCCUGAGCUAGUACGUCCCAGAACUGGCCCGAGCCAGACUCGAUAUCGAAAUCAACGCCAUCCAAAACCGCAGCGCCAAGUGGCCUGGAAUCCGACUGCCCGCCAAGGUAGCUGUUCCAAAUGAAGUUUGCGACUUGUUUCGCAUCGUCGGCGGAGGAGAGUGAAUAACUCCCCGCGCCACCACCGAUAGAGAGGAGGACCUUGACAUUUUGACUUUUGCAAGAGUUUAUUUCGUCGCUCAAAAAAGCGCAACCGUUGUUGUCAGGGUUGCAGUGACCAGCAAGGUUGAGAACUGGAGCUUGACCGCUGCCAAAGGAUGAGAGAAAUGCUAUGUUGACGAACUCGUAGUUUCCAGUUGCGCAGGUGGAUGCAAGAGAGCCCUCGUUGCCGUUUUGACCCCAAUAGAUGGCGAUUCCAGCCGCGUCGGAAGAGCGGAAAAUAGAGGAAAGGAGGAAGAAGAUGGAAAGGGUUGUAGUUAUUUUGUGGGCAGCCAUUGCUUAAAGAGCUUUCUUUGAGUUUGUGUGUCUAAACAAUGGAAAAUGUGAAGUGAAUUUAUAGGGAAGGGAAAAGGCAAUCACGAAGGGUUAUUGUUGAUCAAAUCAAAGUAUAAGAUCAUAUAAUAUAAUUUUGGAAGUGUCAUUUGGAUUUGGAAAAAAUGUUACAAAUUAUUUAAUCAAUUGCCGUGUUCUAAUUGAAGAGAGAAAAAAAGUGGUUGAUUAAUUUGAAUUUCCAUGGAAAUACGAUUACGUGGAGUCAAGGUCAAAGUAAACAUAUCUCUACAAAUUAUAUAUAAGUACUAGACUUUUGUGAUUAUAAUUAAGUUUAUUAUAAGCUAUGUGAUUAAAAUAUUGUUAAAUUAUAAGUUUAUUCUCUAAUAUUUUUUUUAAAAAAAUUGUAGUUAUGUUCAACAAAUUAAAUUUGUAUAUGUUAUUAGUAGGGCGGCCUUUGAACUAUUGUUAAACAUGUGCUUAAUAAGUCCAUAAAUCUCUAAUAUGUCAUAUGGUUGGAUUAUUAGCAUAUUUAAAAUGUUAACUAAUGUUUAUAAGUAAAAUUGAGGUUUAGGUAUAUGGAAGGACCUCUGGACUUAAUUUCAAUUUUGUUGUUGUUGUUUUUUCUUUUGUGGGUUUGUGAAAUUUUAAUAAUUGAUGCAUGUUAUUAUUAUAAUUGUGUUGUUGAACGUGAACGUUUCUCUUUUUGAUAAUGUGUGAUAGGAAAACCAAACGUUAAUUUUGAAGUUGAUAAAACAAUAAUUGAGUUAUGAUUUGUUAAGUCUAAUACAAUAAUUUAUUAAAUAUAAAAUUGAAAGUUUAGGAUUAUGAAACAAAACUAAAAUGGAAGAACUAGAUGGCUGGACUCGAAUAUAAUUUUUUUUUUGUACUAAAAUUGCAAUUUAACCUAGAGAUCACACUUUAACUCCAAUUAGUUUAAGGUAUAACAAUGAAAUUUAUUUAUUUUAAAAGUUCAACGUUAAAAUUUUUUGCAAGUAUUUGAACCUCUGUGACCUUCUAAACAGUAAGCAUGGUACAUGAUCAACUUAUUUUACUUGUUUAACUAAGUUCAAGUUAGCCGAAAAAGUGUAUAGCUAUGUUACGUAUAGAGUUUAUAUGACUAUACAUAUCGUCUCUUGAAUUUGAUUUAAGAUCAUAUGUACUGUUCAAUUAAUCUUUAUUUUCACAUUUGUGUCAAACACAUUUUGUUUUUUAUGUAAUGUUGGGAGAUUUAACUAGCUAGAAUAACAUUGGUGUGUUUUGUGGAUAAUUGUCAACCGGUCAAGGGGUGCACUGGAGAUAGUACAACCGCCAACGACGUAAUGUAAGGGUUGGACGAUAUAUCACUACCGUCGACAACGUAUUUACACCAUUUGCAAUUUUUCUAACAACUGAUGACCUUGCUUUGUUGUCCGGAGAUCAAGUCCCGACGAGUUUCUUCCAACUGAACUCCCAACAAGUUUUUAUCCACUGCUUUUAGGUAUUUAUCGACUGUUUUGUGCAGCGAGAGAAACCUAUUUUUUGUAGCAAUAGUUAUGCAUUACGUACAUAUGUAAAAGAGUACAUUAAAAAAGUCCAAAAUUCAAUUAAAUUAGCCGUGAAAUCUAGAAAUAUCUAUUGACUACAUAUAGUUAAAGUGAGUCUAAGUCAUCAUAAUUAAUGGAAUUUGUUUGAUUAUAGUUAGACAUUUCAAACUCCAAAUUCUAUCCAAAACAAAUUAUUCCACACGUUAACAUUGUAGCUGCGUAUAUAUGUGGAAAAGUUUACAAACAGUACUAAUUUUAUUUUUUCUUCAACAAACCUGCAUUUUAGGGUACUCAUUAAUUUAUAUACUUAUUUUUAGAGAGAAUCUUAUAACUUCUACUAUGCAUUAGAUAAAUUGAAGGAUAUUUUAUAAUAAGUUUUUUAAGACUUCAAAUAGUUAAACUUAUGAUUUUAUUACGGUUCAAGAUAUUAAACUUCGAUCCACAAGUUGAUUUAUAAGAAGAUAAAGAAAUGGUUGUUGCCUCUACCACACCUUUGUAAAGAUAUAUCUACAAAGUUGCUCCUUACUAUUUUACAAGUCUAACUACAAAUUCAAUUAUCUAGUCUACUAUAUUUUCUUUUCUUUUGCCAAGUACCCAAAGGUUGAUAUGGCCGUCUACGUUUCCCUUCUUGAAUACAACAAUAUCAAGGGUAUGAUUAUUUUCUUUUAUAUAUUCAAGCUCUAUUUUGAUUGGACUUGACCAAAUCUUUAAUUAAUUAACUCUUGAACUUUUUGGAAACUAUGUCUUGGAUUCGUUCACUGUAGAGUUGAAUGGGCAAUUCUGUUUGUCUCUAUUUGUUUUCUAGAGUUAGAGAUGGUUUUAUUGAUGUAGUAGUGGUUUGGAGACGGUUUCAGAGUAAAAGAUAGUUCCGGUAAACUCCUUGAGCAUUCUUCCGUGUAAGGAUAGAGUAAUAUUGUUGUUUGAUUAGAAAUUUGCUUCUAAUAAUUUUGACAACUUGAGAUUAAUUAGGACGGAGUAUACUGAUGGGCUCUGGUUAUAAUUGAUUUCAAACCAAUACCUGCUCUAUUUCAAGUGAGAGAGGCAGGUGUGUAGCCAUUGUCAAACGCCUUACUCCAUAACAAUAGCUACUCUUUUUCAAUAGGAUCCUGCCUUUAAUGGCAUCGCUGUAGCCAUUGUCAAACGCCUUACUCCAUAACAUCACUCCUCCAUAGUUGGAAGAAGUUUUAAUGGUUGGAAGAACUUGAGAAAUAAGAACAUCCGCCGGAAUAAAUCCCCCGCUCGGCGCUGCCUCCGGUGCCGCUGGCAAUCCCAUGUAAAGCUUCGAUAUCGGAUACGCCGCCCACUGAUUCCAUGAACUCAGGAGGUUGUCCGCGUUAUCUGCAUACAUGCAUGGCGGGUUGUUGUAGAAUUGAACCCAGACGGAAUCGAACAGUCCAGUUCUGAUCGCGGCGUCUAGCUGAGCGUCUGGGAACGGACACUGUGGCGCGGCAGAUAAAAUGACUUGUCCAAAACUCUUUAGCUCCCGAGCUAGUACAUCCCAGAACUGGCCCGAGCCAAACCCGAUAACAAAAUCAACGCCAUCCAAAACCGCAUCGCCGAGUGGCCUGGAAUCCGACUGCCCGCCGAGGUAGUUGUUCCAGAGGAAGCCUGCGACUUGUUUCGCAUUGUUGGCGGAGGAGAGUGAAUAUCUCCCUACGCCGCCUCCAAUAGAGAGGAGAACCUUGACAUUUUGACUUUGGCAAGAGUUUAUUUCGUCGCUCACAAAGGCGCAACCGUUGUUGUCAGGGUUGCAGUGACCGGCAAGGUUGAGGACCGGAGUUUGACCGCUGCCGAAGGAUGAGAGAAAUGCUAUGUUGACGAACUCGUAGUUUCCAGUGGCGCAGGUGGAUGCAAGAGAGCCUUCGUUGCCGUUUUGGCCCCAAUAGAUGGCGAUUCCAGCCGCGUUGGAAGAGCGGAAAAUAGAGGAGAGGAGGAAGAAGAUGGAGAGGGUUGUAGUUAUUAUUUUGUGGGCAGCCAUUUCUUAAAGAGCUUUUUCCUUUGAGAUUAUGUGUUUAAACAGUGGAAAAUAUGAAGUGAAUUUAUUGGGAAGGGAAAAGGUAAUCACGUAGGGUUAUUGUUGAUCAAAUCAAAGUAUUUGUAGAGUGUCAUUUGGGUUUGGAAAAAAAUGUUACAAAUUAUGUAAUGAAUUGGCUUGUUCGAUCAUUCUAAUUGAAGAGAGAAAAAAAUGGUUGAUUUGAAAUUUUCAUGGAGAAUACGAUUAUGAUUAUGUGGUGUUAAGUACGAG
rnacentral:lncRNA from 1 species